rnacentral:tRNA from 3 species
GGAGAGAUGUCCGAGAGGUUGAAGGAGCACGCCUGGAAAGCGUGUGUACGUUAAUAGCGUACCGAGGGUUCGAAUCCCUCUCUCUCCGCCA